UCUCUGGCUUCCGCCAAGUCACAGAUCCACGCCCCGCCACCCCCCCUGCCCCGAGUCGUGUGCUAAAACGUUGUACCCGGUCAUAAUUAAUAAAUUCCAGCGUGCGCAGCUAAAUGAAUUCGGUUUCAGUCUCGCCAGGCCAAGGCAAUGUCAAAAACAACUCCAAACACAACCAAACAAAACACCAACAACAUCAACAAGUUGCAAAGUCACAGACAAAAAUACUCAACUUUGAGAUACCCGAUAAAAAAUACUAGCAGUCAACAAAUUAAUUCUUUUUAAUGUCUUAAAUUCUACUAAUACCUUUAGAAUAAAGUCCAAAGUUUCUAAUCUGAUUGAUGAGAUGAGAUUGAUGUGCAUUUUUCAGGACACAUCUGCACAUGACUAUCCCAUAGAUAUAGCCAAGAGCUGACGGGUAGAACAACAACAGCAAAACAACAAAUUGACGUCACACGGUCGCUGCUGUUAUCUUUGUCGAACUUGAGAGCUGAAGCUUGAGCUCGGAUUCGCCUGUCGCGACUUUGCGUCGCUCGUUGCAAGUGUGACAUGCGUAUCAAGGCACGAAACGGGUUUAACGGGUAUUCGGUAUUCGGGGGGCUCCAAGACGCAAUCAAGUGAGAACGAACCCCUAAAUAACAACAAAGCCAGCCACAUUGUGAGACUUUAAUCAAAAACCGUACAAGUCAAUUGGGUUACGUAAAUUUCAUUUGUUUAUUUCGAGCAUAGAACUACAGGCAUCCAUAUAUGCCUGUGCCAUGGACUCGAUCAAAGCCGCAUGGAACUAAGAAGUAUUUAAAGCUUGGUAUGCAAUAAAACAAAAACAGGCAGCAGGCGACUAGUUUCCAUUAAGCGAAACGCCCCCUGACGGCCAGCGGCGUCAACUUGGCGUCGCUCGAAUGGGAUAAUAAGCACUGUUAGCCUGUACAGUGUACACGUCGCAGCGGCAGGUUCAUCAAGUUCUCUCUCCCUCUCUUUCUUAAGGCGUCGCAAUGAAGAACGACAUUCAAAACGUAAAUAAGAAAAUGGAAUUUUAUAGAGAAAGAAUCCUUGUAUGGCAGUCACUAGUGCAAUUCUGUAGUUAUUUUCUGAUGCGCAUAAAACACCCAUGUAAGUUACAUAUUUUACCGCUGACUAAGUCAAGAUCAGAUUGGGUUUGUCAUAAAAUUAAAGAAAGCCACAGAAUGGGGCUGGGCUGCAACGCCUUCAAGUAAUUGUAGACACCCACAUUUGGUGUUUCUAGAUCUUUACGGAUCUGGUAAGAUGUCGCCGCCGGCAAAACAACCAACUGCCAUUUGAAAUAAUCGCACACUAAUUAAUUACAGCAAACUGCAAAUAA